UUUAAAUAUGGUAAGUAUGGUUAAAAGGAUGAGUAUAGUGAUUAUUUUUGAAAUCAUUAGACAGUACCCUUGCCUCCAUAUACUGAGAUACAUAUCAGUUAUUGAAAUACAGAGAUACAGAUAUGAGAUACAGAUCAGUUACAGAGAUAUAGUGAUAUAGAUAUGGGAUACAGAUCAGUUACAGAGAUACAGUGAUACAGAUAUGGGAUACAGAUUAGUUAUUGAGAUACAGAGAUACAGUGAUACAGAUAUGAGAUACAAACAGUUGAGAUACAGAUGAGAUACAGGCCUUUGGGGCCCGUCUGAGUACACACAGAGGCUUUGGGCCGUGUGCUUGGGCGCUUUUGUCCUUUGGGGACUAGAUUAUGCAUGCACAGAUAUGAUGAGAUAUGAGGUAGUAUUUCCUUGUCUAUCCGUUGUAGCUCCGGGGCGUGACGUUACCCAGAUAGUGCGUCAUUACCCGUCCGUUGAGGUCCGGAUAUGAC
rnacentral:lncRNA from 1 species